rnacentral:lncRNA from 1 species
UGCCGUUAAACUUUCCUUCUCUUCUAGCAUUCUCUGCUCAUCCACACUUUUUCUUGCUAAAUCUUCUUUCAGAUUUUCUAUCACAAUAAGGUGUUCUGAAAUUUCUCCAGCCUUCCUCACAAGCUGGAAUUCUAAUUCAGUUUUUUGAGCACUCAAAGAAUUUAUCUUCUCCUGCAGGUUGCCAACCUGCAAUGUCACUGCCAAAAUUUGAGAGGAUGCUUCUUUCUCUCCAGCUUCAGAUUUCAUUGAUACAGAAGAGAGUUCAUUCUCCUUUUCAAUUAAUGACUGUUCUAAUUCAAAAUUUCUAUUUUGCAGCCUAUCCUUUUCCUCUUGCAACUGAACACUCUCAUUGAUUUUACUUCUUAGCUGCUCUUCCAGUUCUCUUUUCUGUGUGCGCAAGGAGCCCACCUCUAGCUCCAUAUCCUUGAGCUGUGCCGUUAAACUUUCUUUCUCUUCUAGCAUUCUCUGCUCAUCCACACUUUUGCUUGCUAAAUCUUCUUUCAGAUUUUCUAUCACAAUAAGGUGUUCUGAAAUUUCUCCAGCCUUCCUCACAAGCUGGAAUUCUAAUUCAGUUUUUUGAGCACUCAAAGAAUUUAUCUUCUCCUGCAGGUUGCCAACCUGCAAUGUCACUGCCAAAAUUUGAGAGGAUGCUUCUUUCUCUCCAGCUUCAGAUUUCAUUGAUACAGAAGAGAGUUCAUUCUCCUUUUCAAUUAAUGACUGUUCUAAUUCAAAAUUUCUAUUUUGCAGCCUAUCCUUUUCCUCUUGCAACUGAACACUCUCAUUGAUUUUACUUCUUAGCUGCUCUUCCAGUUCUCUUUUCUGUGUGCGCAAGGAGCCCACCUCUAGCUCCAUAUCCUUGAGCUGUGCCGUUAAACUUUCUUUCUCUUCUAGCAUUCUCUGCUCAUCCACACUUUUGCUUGCUAAAUCUUCUUUCAGAUUUUCUAUCACAAUAAGGUGUUCUGAAAUUUCUCCAGCCUUCCUCACAAGCUGGAAUUCUAAUUCAGUUUUUUGAGCACUCAAAGAAUUUAUCUUCUCCUGCAGGUUGCCAACCUGCAAUGUCACUGCCAAAAUUUGAGAGGAUGCUUCUUUCUCUCCAGCUUCAGAUUUCAUUGAUACAGAAGAGAGUUCAUUCUCCUUUUCAAUUAAUGACUGUUCCAAUUCAAAGAUUCUAUUUUGCAG